UGGACAGUAGGGCUUCUUUUGAUCUCAUUCAGUUCUCUGUGCCCAAACACCAAGCUCAGUGCCCAAGCAUAGAGCAGACAAAAUAUAUGCAUAUUUAUGAUGAUCAGAAGAAAGGGAGGGGAGGAAAUUUUAAACCAAACAGCUACACUAGGCAAAUUUUUCAAAGCCUUAGGGAAAUUAUAGCAAACACUUUUUUUUUUUUUUGCACUUCCUAUGUGUCACAGAGAAGAUUGAGACACAGGGAGCACAGGUCCAGGCGGCUGUCUGCAGGAGCAGGAACAAUUUGUCUCUGCUAAAGGCUUCUUUUGAUAAGGCGGGAGAGCCCAGGAGUCAGCAGGCCCAACUGGAGCUCCCGGGGUCAACUGAGAAAUAGGGAGAGGAAAUCAUGCCCUCCAUGCUCUUGGUGUGAAAAGAUGUUUCUCCCCCAUACCCAAGUCUCCUGGCCUGCUGGUUGCGGAGCAGCAGAGGGGGAUGGCCUGCACCUGCCCCAAGUGGCCUACACCUGCCCCAGGGGCAGGACAGUGAGAUGGAUGCCCCACAAGUCUAGGGGCUCUACACAGGAGAGGUGGAGAAGAAAACUGGGAAUCCUGAGUGACAUAAAAGGUGACCAUGCACAUCUGCCUCGCAGCUGCUCUCCGAGCAAAAGACUUGAGGUCUGCUGUCUGAUCUGCUCCUGCCCAACACCUCAGUUUCCCAGCUUUAAUGAAAACUCAAGAUUUGCAGAACUGGAGAGAGCAAAGACACACAAAUUUGAGACUAAAAGCCACUGUGCUUCUCCUCAAACUGAACCAUCCUAAAACCACAGUCUGAAAGUAUCAUUGAAACUGAGCCAGAAAAUAAUCCCCUGUCAGAUUUUCCAAGGAGAACCAGCCCUGUCUAAACCAUUAUAAGCUUCAGUUACAGUAAAGUAAUGGCAAAAGCGGCCUCCGGGCAGACAAUCCCUGCCCCACCGCCUGCGCCUGCGUGGGUUUGAGCGCCUGGAUUCACCUCUCUGAGCUCGGGUUUUCUCAUAUGUAAAACAGUAAGAGGACUAUCAUCUUUCAGAUUUGGAAUAAAGAGUCUC